GAAAUUACAAACCAAAUCCUCAUCAUUGUGUUGGAAGGUACCCUAAGACACAAACAAACACACAAAAACAACUUAACGCAGCCAUCACGAGCUCUCGAUCGAAGCUCAUCUCGAUGGUCGAGAGUUUGAUGGAAUCAAAAAUGCUGAAAGCCAUCCACUUGCCACCGAAAUAUGGCUUCAUCUGAGUAACUAGGCAACC
rnacentral:lncRNA from 1 species